GACGAACGCUGGCGGCAUGCUUAACACAUGCAAGUCGAACGAAGUGGCGAACGGGUGAGUAACGCGUAAUCAACCUGCCCUUCAGAGGGGGACAACAGUUGGAAACGACUGCUAAUACCGCAUACUGAAGGAGGGGAUUGCGUCUGAUUAGCUAGUUGGCGGGGUAACGGCCCACCAAGGCGAGUGUCAGUUGCCGGUCUGAGAGGAUGAACGGGCACAUUGGGACUGAGACACGGCCCAGACCCCUACGGGAGGCAGCAAGGGGGAAUCUUCCGCAAUGGAGGAAAGUCUGACGGCGCAACGGCGCGGGAGGGAUGACGGCCUUCGGGUUGUAAAGCUCUGUUAAUCGGGACGCGGUACCGGAAUAGAAAGCCACGGCUAACUACGUGCCAGCCGCCGCGGUAAUAC
rnacentral:rRNA from 1 species